rnacentral:lncRNA from 1 species
ACUCGCCCCGGUACCGGAUCUCGUGAAUCCGCAACCCGCUCCGAUAUCGACUGCUGUGGAUUCGGUAUCGAUUGUUGGGAUUCCGCAACGGAAGCGUCGAAUCGAAUUUUUACCAUAAACCCGUCUCCUCAGCAAAAGCUGAUAUAAUCAUAAAAAAGAAAAAAAAAAAUCAAAACAGAAAAUAUGCGGAUAAAAUAAGAUUCAUUAAAUAAGAGAAGAUUACACCUGACUCCUCUUCUGCUCUUCUCUCGUCUUCUAUAAACCCACAAAGAAGACUAUCCUCCACGCGCACCUGUGCACAA